GACGAACGCUGGCGGCAUGCUUAACACAUGCCAGUCGAACGGAAAGGCCCUGCUUUUGUGGGGUGCUCGAGUGGCGAACGGGUGAGUAACACGUGAGUAACCUGCCCUUGACUUUGGGAUAACUUAAGGAAACUGGGGCUAAUACCGGAUAGGUGCUCCUGCUGCAUGGUGGGGGUUGGAAAGUUUCGGCGGUUGGGGAUGGACUCGCGGCUUAUCAGCUUGUUGGUGGGGUAGUGGCUUACCAAGGCUUUGACGGGUAGCCGGCCUGAGAGGGUGACCGGCCACAAUGGGACUGAGAUACGGCCCAGACUCCUACGGGAGGCAGCAGUGGGGAAUAUUGCACAGUGGGCGGAAGCCUGAUGCAGCAACGCCGCGUGCGGGAUGACGGCCUUCGGGUUGUAAACCGCUUUCGCCUGUGACGAAGCGUGAGUGACGGUAAUGAGUAAAGAAGCACCGGCUAACUACGUG
rnacentral:rRNA from 1 species